UACGGAGGGGGCUAGCGUUGUUCGGAAUUACUGGGCGUAAAGCGCACGUAGGCGGCUUUGCAAGUUAGAGGUGAAAGCCCGGAGCUCAACUCCUGAAUUGCCUUUAAAACUGCAUCGCUAGAAUUGUGGAGAGGUGAGUGGAAUUCCGAGUGUAGAGGUGAAAUUCGUAGAUAUUCGCAAGAACACCAGUGGCGAAGGCGGUUCACUGGCCCGGUACUGACGCUGAGGUGCGAAAGCGUGGGGAGCAAACAGG
rnacentral:rRNA from 1 species